CCUCAUCUUUCCAGCAUAUAUUGAAAGAGUGAACCAAGUCAGAAUACCCCAACUCAAGUAUUCACCAAAAUUUUUCAUUUGGAGGCAGAAGUUCAUUUGAAAAGCUCUCAUUAGUCAUUUCUCUUCUCUACACAUCUUCAUCUUCAGUUAUGGCAAACCAACGAGUACACCCCGGGCCACUGAACCAAAAUUUGCUAACGUUUCAAACCCGUCACCGAAGUAGAGCUAUUUGGACGGAUCCUAAUUAUGACGUCCAACUAAAAGCGGUUAAGUAUGAUACCGUAACGAGGUGUGCAGCCGUUGAUGAUGAAAGAGUCAAAGAGUGGCUGCGUAUUUCGGGAUUCUACGGUAUUUCUCAGCUCACAAAAAUACAGUUGGACCAUGCGCUUAUUACCGCCCUUUUAGAGCGAUGGAGGCCGGAGGUCCACGCUUUUCACAUGCCCUUCGGUGAGGUAGGAAUAACACUUCAAGAUGUAGAAGUGCUAUUUGGCCUCAAAGUUGACGGUUUUUUAGUGUCGGGGCAGGAUACAAUUGGCACUAAGCAACAAGUAAAGGUAAUGUGCAAAGAGUUACUGGGAUUUGAGCCUACGGUACAGUUCAUGACAAGUACAAUGAUUAACGGGUGUGUUGUACCGGAGGUUCAAGCUCUUACAGCAGAGAGCGGAGAAGAAGACGUCUUGUUGGCAACACGGCGUUUAAUAUUUCAUUUGUUAAACGGUUUUUUAUUUCCUGACACAACAAAGGGGAAAUAUAAAUUAUACUUCCUACCUUAUAUUAGGAAUCUCUAUGUUUGUGCCGAAUUUUGCUGGGGUUCGGCUGUUUUGGGAUAUCUAUAUAGGGCGUUGUGUAGAGCUUCCGAACACGGCAAACGUACAGUUUUUGGGUGUCUUCUUCUAGUGCAGAUUUGGGCAUGGGAGAGGCUGCCUAUGGUAAGGCCGAGUGGUGUUUUGCCGCGCGAUAAAAUCGCUGAUUACCCUAUUGCAUAUAGGUGGGUUUGUCGGCACACUUGGCUAACAGUGCCUAGCCACACUACCGUAGCCUAUCGCGAUCAAUUAGAUCACGCAUCGGAACGGAGAUUUAUUUUCACUCCGUAUGUUGACUACCUUGAUGACUUGCCCCCAUAUUGCAAAGCGGGGAGGAGGUUAUGGACUGCCAAAAUUCCGCUAAUUUUCUACCACGUGGUGGAAUAUCACCACCCUGUGCGGUUCUGCAGGCAGUUCAAUGGGUUGCAGGUUGUGCCGCCAGAUGUGGUAUACGACCAACGGUUGCACAAUAUGGACCAACGGGGGAAGUCAGGAACUGAUUGGUUACAAAAGCAUGGAGAACACGUGGGCCGUUGGAAUGAGCGUUAUAAUUGGGUCGUCAACAUGACUAUAACCGAUCGACCGCAGUCGGUGCCUGAGUACCGGGCAUGGUACUACUUGCAUGGUCGGCGUCUUAUUGGUAACCCAAUGCAUUACAAAAACGAGGGAUUCGUGCAGUGUGCAGCGUCACUCAACGAGGCGAUGCACGCAUUCAACCGGUUGAGGUUAGAUGUCAGUGAAGUCCUUAACAAUCCUGAUGCCGAUCGUGACCAACACCUUAGGGAUAUUCAACAGAAUUGUAUUGACAUGUUGGUUGAUACGGACUACGAGUUCCUUUUGCACAUGACGCCUGAGCAGUAUUUUGGGGCUCCGAUGCCGGAUGAACCAUUUGGCCCUCCGGCUGCAGAUCGUCGUCGAGACAGGCCAAACAGGCGUGGUGGUCCAGCAAUCGGCGGUCGAAGUAGGCGCGCCGUGAAUAUUCAAAGACAGGCGGAAUUCGUUGCAGCUGCUCAACAAGAGGCGGAGGCGGAUGAGGAUGAGGAUGAGGACGAGGACGAGGUUUUGCUUGAGGAUGAGAAUGAAGAUGACGAUGGGAGUAAUGAUGAGGGGGCAUUGCAAAUUGUUGUUAGGGACCGUUCACCUAAACGUGAUAGAUUUGAUUACGGGCAGAGUAGUGGAACGAAUUAAGGGGGCGAAUGCACUGGGUUCGCCCAUUUCGCGUCAGGAUCCCAAAUGAGUGGAUUUGGAUUCGCAGGUGCUAGUGGUUAUGGGUCGGGUGCAGCCACAUAUAACACCCCAUCUAGUGCGAUGUAUGAUCCGACAUAGGCUGGUUCCUCCUUUUAGUUGUUCCAUGCUCUACCCUAUAAUCAAUAUCAACAUCCUCGACCGUUAUUCAAUGCUUAUCCCAUGGAGCACCCAAUUACGGAUUUACAAUUGGGAAUCCCAUCAUCGUCGCAUUUAGGUGGUGACAACGUUUUUCCAUCCAUUGAACAGUCGAUUGGGCCUGUUGAAGAGGAGCAGCCACCUCCACGAAGGUCUACAAGACAAACACGAUCGACGGUGUGUGGAACCGGAACUCGACACCACAGGCACGGAUGAAUUGAUUAGAAGCUCAAAAAUGAAUAUCCAUUGCAUUCCAUUCUAUGUAUACAAAGCACUAGUUGAG